GCAAGUCAGGGGUUUCGGCCCCGGCGCUCGGUUGAGUACCGCGUAGAUAAUCUGCCUAUCUCUCUGUGAUAACAACGGGCAACUGUAAUAAGCACAGAUGAGGACUUCGGUUCAAAUGCAAAGGAUAUAGAUGAGUCUGCGUAUGAUUAGAUAGUUGGUAGGGUAAUGGCCUACCAAGUCAACGAUCAUUAGCGGGUUUGAGAGGACGAUC
rnacentral:rRNA from 1 species